rnacentral:misc_RNA from 1 species
UUUUUUUUUAAACAAUUGUACCCUAAUUUUUUUUUAUAACAAAUAUAUCCUAAGCUUCAAACUUCACUACGAUUCAAACCUACCAUUAGUUGCCCUAUUCAAUAUUAUCAGAGAUAUCAAGUCAACACAUAUAAUUCCCAAACUUAUACUAAUUAAAUUUAAUUUAUAUUAAAAGAAAAAAGAAAAGAAAAUUUAUUUCCAACGAGACUGAUACUAUUUCUACAAAAAACAUAAAGGAUCAUCUUCCAUCUCCCCACCUCUCCACUAUUAGCUUUCCUCUACCUUCACACCUCACAAUGCCUAUUUGAUACUAAUCUACUAUACACACUCACUUUAUUAUCAACAAUCAGUGCAUUUAUUUCUCCCCUACUGUAUCAAGGCAUACAAUAUCUCUCUCAAUUAUCCUUCAUCAUCUUGACAAGUUAUCAUCUUUGUAACACUCAUCUCUACCUAACCCAACUCUAUCCUUACGAAGUCUCAAUCUUACUUUUCAUUAAUCACUCCUUUCAACAACUUAAUUAGACCCAUAUUAACAGUCCCAAAAUAAACUCAUUAAUUCAUCAAUUGGAAUUUAUUUGUAAAUUGAGUUUAAGAAA